UGCGUAGGCGGCCUGGCAAGUUGGGUGUGAAAUCCCUCGGCUCAACCGAGGAAUUGCGCUCAAAACUGCUAGGCAUGAGGAAGGUAGAGGUGAGCGGAACUCAGGGUAGAGCGGUGAAAUGCGUUGAUAUCCUGGGGAACACCAGUUGCGAAAGCGGCUCACUGGGCCUUUUCUGACGCUCAUGCACGAAAGCUAGGGGAGCGAACG
rnacentral:rRNA from 1 species